GAUGAACGCUGGCGGCGUGCCUAAUACAUGCAAGUCGAGCGGAGGGUAUAGCAAUGUACCCUUAGCGGCGAACGGGUGAGUAACGCGUUGGUGACCUGCCCCGAAGAGGGGGAUAACAGUUCGAAAGGACUGCUAAUACCCCAUGAGCACAGAAGGGUUAGAGGCCUUUUGUGGAAAGGAGUAAUCCACUUUGGGAGGGACCUGCGUCCCAUCAGCUAGUUGGUAGGGUAACGGCCUACCAAGGCGAAGACGGGUAGGGGACCUGAGAGGGUGGCCCCCCACAAUGGAACUGAAACCCGGUCCAUACACCUACGGGUGGCAGCAGUAGGGAAUAUUGCAUAAUGGGCGAAAGCCUGAUGCAGCAACGCCGCGUGUGCGAUGAAGGCCUUCGGGUCGUAAAGCACUUUUAGAGAGGAAGAGGAAGGACGGUACUCUCUGAAUAAGCCUCGGCUAACUACGUGCCAGCCGCCGCGGUAAAAC
rnacentral:rRNA from 1 species